UCCGAACGUGCAUUCAACAUGGCGUCCGAUACGGAGCCGAUAUAUUGUUUAUGUCGCCAACCUUACGAUGAAACGCUUUUCAUGAUCGAAUGUGACGUAUGCAAGGACUGGUUCCACGGAAGCUGUGUUGGGGUAUUGGAACAUCAAGCAUCGGACAUUGAAAUAUACCACUGUCCCAACUGUCAACUGUUGAAGGGACCUCUUGUGUUGAAGAGAAGGAAGAACUGGCACAGACAUGACUACUCUGAAGAGGAGACAGGAAAGGCAGUUCAGACAGGCACUGUUGUCUUCAUUAAGGAACUCAAGAACAGGAUGUUUCCAAGUGCCGAUGAGAUACCAAUCCUACGUCUCCAUGGCAGUCAGUUGACAAAGGAUUACCUGGAUAAGAAUGGCUUUGAUACACCUAUACUGAUUGAGAAGAAAGAUGGCUUGUCUUUGACGGUGCCACCAUCCAACUUCACAAUACAAGAUGUAGAAAACCAUGUUGGGUCUAUGCGUGAGAUCGAUGUGAUAGAUGUUGCCCGACAGGAGGACUACAAGAUGCUGAUGAGAGAGUGGACAGAGUACUACAACAGUCCCAACAGGCAGAAGAUCUUCAAUGUCAUCAGUCUGGAGUUCUCAAAUACAAAAUUGUCUGAGUUUGUUGUCCCCCCAGCCAUAGUGCGUGAACUAAGCUGGGUGCAGAAUGUGUGGCCCGACCAGCUGCCUGAUGACAGCCCCUACAACCGUCCAGAAGUACAGAAAUACUGUCUCAUGGGAGUGAGGGACAGCUUCACAGACUUUCACAUAGACUUUGGUGGAACCUCAGUGUGGUACCAUGUUCUCAGGGGAGAGAAAGUGUUCUACUUGAUCCGACCGACCAGUGCCAACGUGUCACUGUAUGAGAACUGGCUGUCGUCCAGCAACCAGAGUGAGACCUUCUUCGGUGACCAGGUGGACAGUUGCUACAAGUGUGUCAUCAAGACGGGACAGACUUUCUUUGUUCCCACAGGCUGGAUUCAUGCAGUCUUUACCCCCAUCGACUCCCUGGUGUUUGGGGGCAACUUCUUACACAGCUACAAUGCUCCUCUACAGCUGCAAGUUUAUGAGAUUGAGCGGCGGGUUAAAACACCAGAAAAAUACCUAUUCCCUUUUUAUGAAACAAUUUGCUGGUAUGCAGCUAAACACUUCUUAGAUAUACUGAAAGAAUGUGUUGAAGAUCAGAAAGUCCCGAGGAAAUACAUCUUGGAUGGAGCCAAGGCCCUUGCACAGCAUCUCAAGUCCUGGACACAGAGGAAAGAUUUGAACAACACCUUCCUCUUUGUAGAGACAAUGCAAGCAUUGAGGCACCCAAUACAUGUACAAUUAUGGAAAGAUUCACCGAGAGGAUAUUGCCAAAGAAUUGAAACAGUUUGAAAACCAGAAACCUAUCCCCUAAGAAGCCUGAACGCUAGCUGUGAGGAAGAGCGACACGCUAACCCCCAAAACAGCAUGGUAAACAUCUGUCUGCCGCAUCAGCACACGAGGAGAAGCUGAGGGAGGUGCAAGCCCAGCACAGCAAGAAUAUCUACAACUUUGAUGAAGAAGAUGAGCCAGCCCUGCCACACUGAAGGUGAGGAUCCCACAAGGCAGGGGCCUGCUUAGACAGCACAUUGAGGCAGCAGAAGGCAAGGAGACUGGGAUGGGAAGGAAGGCAAGAGGCAGCAAAAGCAAAGAAAGAUAAGGAGGAGAAGCCAAGG